AUUGAACGCUGGCGGCAGGCCUAACACAUGCAAGUCGAACGAGUGGCGGACGGGUGAGUAAUGUCUGGGAAACUGCCUGAUGGAGGGGGAUAACUACGGGAAACGGUAGCUAAUACCGCAUAACAUCAGAGGGGCCGAGAUGGGAUUAGCUUGUUGGGGGGGUAACGGCUCCCCAAGGCGACGAUCCCUAGCUGGUCUGAGAGGAUGAACAGCCACUCUGUCACUGAGACACGGUCCAGACUCCUACGGGAGGCAGCAGUGGGGAAUAUUGCACAAUGGGCGCAAGCCUGAUACAGCCAUGCCGCGUGUAUGAAGAAGGCCUUCGGGUUGUAAAGUACUUUCAGCGGAGAGGCGUUACCCGCAGAAGAAGCACCGGCUAACUCCGUGCCAGCAGCCGCGGUAAUAC
rnacentral:rRNA from 1 species